AUUGAACGCUGGCGGCAGGCCUAACACAUGCAAGUCGAACGAGUGGCGGACGGGUGAGUAAUGUCUGGGAAACUGACCGAUGGAGGGGGAUAACUACUGGAAACGGUAGCUAAUACCGCAUAUCAUUGGAUGUGCCCAGAUGGGAUGAGCUUGUAGGUGAGGUAACGGCUUCCCAAGGCGACGAUCCCUAGCUGGUCUGAGAGGAUGACCAGCCACACUGGAACUGAGACACGGUCCAGACUCCUACGGGAGGCAGCAGUAGGGAAUAUUGCACAAUGGGCGCAAGCCUGAUGCAGCCAUGCCGCGUGUAUGAUGAAGGCCUUCGGUUUGUAAAGUACUUUCAGCAGGGAGGCGUUACCCGCAGAAGAAGCACCGGCUAACUCCGUGCCAGCAGCCGCGGUAAUAC
rnacentral:rRNA from 1 species